GCAGACGUAGUUUACUUAAAAACGUUGGAUUGUGAUUCCAAAAAAGGGGGUUAGAUUCCCCUCGUCCGCC
rnacentral:tRNA from 2 species